rnacentral:rRNA from 1 species
GCCCUUUAGGUAACGGCGAGUGAAGCGGCAAAAGCUCAAAUUUGAAAUCUGGUACCUUCGGUGCCCGAGUUGUAAUUUGGAGAGGGCAACUUUGGGGCCGUUCCUUGUCUAUGUUCCUUGGAACAGGACGUCAUAGAGGGUGAGAAUCCCGUGUGGCGAGGAGUGCGGUUCUUUGUAAAGUGCCCUCGAAGAACCGAGUUGUUUGGGAAUGCAGCUCUAAGUGGGUGGUAAAUUCCAUCUAAAGCUAAAUAUUGGCGAGAGACCGAUAGCGAACAAGUACAGUGAUGGAAAGAUGAAAAGAACUUUGAAAAGAGAGUGAAAAAGUACGUGAAAUCCAUCUAAAGCUAAAUAUUGGCGAGAGACCGAUAGCGAACAAGUACAGUGAUGGAAAGAUGAAAAGAACUUUGAAAAGAGAGUGAAAAAGUACGUGAAAUUGUUGAAAGGGAAGGGCAUUUGAUCAGACAUGGUGUUUUGUGCCCUCUGCUCCUUGUGGGUAGGGGAAUCUGCAUUUCACUGGGCCAGCAUCAGUUUUGGUGGCAGGAUAAAUCCAUAGGAAUGUAGCUUGCCUCGGUAAGUAUUAUAGCCUGUUGGGAAUACUGCCAGCUGGGACUGAGGACUGCGACGUAAGUCAAGGUGGCAGGAUAAAUCCAUAGGAAUGUAGCUUGCCUCGGUAAGUAUUAUAGCCUGUUGGGAAUACUGCCAGCUGGGACUGAGGACUGCGACGUAAGUCAAGGAUGCUGGCAUAAUGGUUAUAUGCCGCCCGCUAAAAAAAGGGGAAAAAAAAUGGAAAAUUGGCAGUAU